GGCCAGGUGAGAAGGACAUCUCUUAUAGCAAUGAUUGAGAGGGAGCUAAGAUGGAGGCGUCCAGUUGGAGGACAAAGACGUGGAUUUCUACAUAUAAUUUUAUUUUUCACCACUCACAAAUAAAUAUUUGUUAAAUAUAGGGAUAAGGAAACAUAACGUUAAACUUUAACUCCUUUAGGACCAGAGUUAGUUAUGUUGUUUAUUGGGACAGUCAUGACAUUCAUUCAUU